CCUACGGGUGGCAGCAGUCGGGAAUAUUGCGCAAUGGAGGAAACUCUGACGCAGUGAAGCCGCGUGCAGGAAGAAGGUUUUCGGAUUGUAAACUGCUUUAGACAGGGAAGAAACAAGACAGUACCUGUAAACUACGCUCCGGCUAACUACGUGACAGCAGCCGCGGUAAUACGUAGGGAGCAAGCGUUAUCCGGAUUUAUUGGGUGUACAGGGUGCGUAGACGGGAAGUGAAGGUGGUUGUGAAAUCCCUCGGCUUAACUGAGGAACUGCAACCAAAACUAACUUGCUUGAGUGCUGGAGAGGAAAGUGGAAUGCCUAGUGUAGCGGUGAAAUGCGUAGAUAUUAGGAAGAACACCAGUGGCGAAGGCGACUUUCUGGACAGGAACUGACGUUGAGGCACGAAAGUGUGGGGAGCAAACAGGAUUAGAUACCCUUGUAGUC
rnacentral:rRNA from 1 species